rnacentral:lncRNA from 1 species
GAAUGGGCCAGUCCAAUCAGGUUUUCUCUCUUAAUUUUUUUUUAAAAAGAAAAAACCUAAGCCCUAACCCGACGUCGAUGGUGUAUCCGUGCCGUGCCUACACAUUGUAUCAUGGUAGCAGUAGGGAUGACCUAGCCUUGAUCAAUGACCUCUUUGGCAUGAGCAGUCUAUCGAUUGAUCAGGCCAGCAACAUCACCAACAACUCCACCACCACCCUCCACUCCGAUCAGCCCCUUCUCAUCCCCCUC